rnacentral:rRNA from 1 species
ACCUGCCCAUUGGAAUCUAAAAGGCCGCGGUAUUAUGACCGUGCUAAGGUAGCAUAAUCAUUAGUCUUUUAAUUGGAGGCUGGUAUGAAUGGUUGGACAAGAAAUAAGCUGUCUUAAAUAAAAAUAUUGAAUUUAACUUUUAAGUGAAAAGGCUUAAAUUUUCUAAGGGGACGAUAAGACCCUAUAAAACUUUAUAUUUUAAAAUAAUAAUUAAUUUUUAUAUAGAAGAUUUAUUUUUAAAUAUUUUAUUGGGGUGAUAAAGAUAAAAUGUGAGAUAACUGUCUUUUUUUUUUUACAAUUAAUAUUUGAGUAAAAGAUCUUAACAAAGGAAAUAAGAGAUUAAGUUACUUUAGGGAUAACAGCGUAAUUUUCUUUAAGAGUUCUUAUCGACAAGAAAGUUUGCGACCUCGAUGUUGAAUUAAAAGUUCUUUAUAGAGUAGAUAUUAUAAUAGAGGGUCUGUUCGACCCUUAAAAUUUUACGUG